AUAUGGAUUAAGGACGAAAGCAAGUAAGAAGCAAUCAUCACAAGAUGCUGGUGUCAAAAUUUGCACAUUCUGCAGGAGCUUCAAUUCGACGGCACAAUGAACUUGCCUUAAAUAAGGUAUGUUUUAACAUACAUAUUAAUUUUUUUAUGAAAAUCAAAAUAUAUUCAUAUCAAUUCCAAUUUUGGAAAAUUGUUGUUUUGACCUUUAUAGUCAAAGUGGGACAGGUAAGAGAGCUAUACGAUGAAAUAUGACUUCGUUCACCUCGCUAAGCGGUGAAUACAGUUAGACUAUGAUUUGUAACGCCAGUAUGUAAAGGUGACCCAAUUUGAUGUGGUUGUGGUCCCAUUUGAUUAUCACCUGGGCUUAAGUUAUCACAUAGGCUGUAAGUUAUCACAAUCUUCAUAUGUAUCAGCACCAGGGCUGGUGCAACCGAUAUCCAGCCUUCAAUCAGACCUCAUGGCCUUAUAAUCCGACUUGGAUAAAGCCCUACCCGAUGAUAGAAGUAGAUGCAUCAACGACCUGUGGACCCUUAUUCAGAGUUUGCAACAACUAUUAUUUGCAUCCUCAACCACUGCACAACCAAUUUUAACACCUUGGACUUUAAUGAAAGAGCUAGAUGAGAUGGAAAAAAUGAAUGCCAAAUUGUCUGCUGCAGUCGAACAAAUAACACACUAGCACAACAAGAACAAUGAGGUAA